rnacentral:lncRNA from 1 species
UAUGCUCACACGCCUCCUGUGAGCUCAAAGAAAGAAUCAGAGUACUAGCAUACGUACUUACGUUGGAAGUAGAUCAGUACCACUACUGCUGCUAGUUCAACAGUGCCUCCGAGAUCUAGUUGCUCCGGAGAUUUGUAAAUGGUUCCUUUUGCUGCUCUCACCUCGGCUGCCGUGGGUACUGGUUCCCCCAUCGGUUCGCCAUCACAAUCAUCAUCUUGGUAUGGAAAUUGAUUAACCCGUGUUCUGUGAAGCGGCGCUGGGGAUAGGUACGUACCGUCGUGCUGCGCUAGAACUUGCAACACAGUUUCCCAACCCAACCCAAAGUUAGAAAGAUUGUGUCUCGAGUUCUCAGUCACGUCCUCCCCGCCUUGGAAACGCUCACAAAACUUCUUUGUAAAGCAGGGCGCAAGUGCCUUUUUCUCUCUCUAAAAAAAGCUUCCGUUUCACAAACUUGUUUGGUCCCUGUAAUAAGAACAGCAAAAAUAUCUUUCAUCUCUCCUGCCCAUAUGCGUCGACGAUCCGUAGCAGCAGCACAUCAUAUGAGUAGGACGGAUGUCAAGAUAAAUCUGCAGAGCAGGAGAGAGCUCCACCACAGAAGAAGGCAGAGAAGGCCAGAUCCAUGGAGAUAUUUCUCUGCGCCUCCCAGUUGCGGCCGGCUCGUCGGAGAUGGCCAAGACAUCACCCGAGCCCCGGCGGCGAAGGGAUAGUGCAAGGAUAUUAUUCACGGCCCGGACGGGUCGGUCGCUCGUUUCUGUUUCUUUCUGGGAGAUUUUAUUGACGGCAGCGAAUGGGUGGACGGGUAGGUGCGGGGUGGUUGUCCGUCCGUCCGUCCGCCAUCUGCCGGCCUGAGCGCUCCCUUGGUUUUCACUCCAAGGAUGGGGCUGGUGCGAGGCGAGAGGUUGGUGGUGGCGCCCACGGUCGGGGUUGCCGUGAGAUCAAGGCGCGGAUGAGACCCUCGGGCCCGCGGUCUGGCCCUGCACGAUCCCACUUCUUCUGGGCUCCGGAUCUGAACCGGCCGGCGGGCGACGUGUCGUCCAUCGGGUCCCGGGGCGGACGUACUGGGUGCACGUACACGCUAGGGUGAGUAGGAUGAUGGCGCCGGUCUUAUCCACAAGACCCACCCACCCACCCACCGUCGUGCUGCCCCACCUUCUCCCGCCGUCUCUUCUUUGCUCACUGACCUAAGGCAGCCAGUGGAGUCCGGCCACAGCGCAAACGGCGUGCUUCGUGCCACCAUCAGUCACCACGCAUGGCCGGGCUCGUUCUAUGGUGCGUACCGAACUGAAAGAAAAAUUGGUUUAUGGGCGCCCACACGGCACGGCACGGCACUCUUUGCGUGAACUCGCCGUCCCGGGCACCAACAACACACUUUGUGCUGCCCACGGGAGCAGAAAAAAAUAAUAAAAAGAUGGAAAAGUGUAGCUUAAUGGCAAGCAAACGGACAGCGCACCGGUCAAGAUCUUAUGUACUCCCUCCGCCCGGUAAUAAGUGUAUUUUUUUCUUUUCUGUCAAUCAAACUAGUUAAACUUUGAUUAACUUUAUUGAAAAAGUGCUAGCAUUUAUGACAUCAGAUUAGUAUCAAUAGAUUUGCCUUUACAUGAGGUUUCCAAAUAUAUCAUUUUCAUGCCAUAUAUGUUGCUACUAUUUACUAUAAAAUUGGUCAAAUUUUUUAAAAAUUGACUAAGUACUAAUCUAUAUGUAUGCUUAUUUGUGGACGGAGGGAGUACAUAGUUAUAAUAACUUCAUUUAGUCAAUAAAAUCUUGGUAACACCCACCCACAUAUAUAGGACUUUUAAUUAACGCUCACUCAUUGGGCUGCCCUAUUGCUAGUCAAUGCAAUGGCUUAUAUAUAAUCAACUGACGCCGUGAUGCGUACGUGCAUUGUUUCAUCAUCGUUCUUUUGCAUCAUGAACGGAGUAUUUUCCUUACCAUCAAGUCAACGUGGUACCGUUGUGUAUGUAGGAUCCAACGACCUCAUUAACGAGCGAUCCGGUUUUGGUGUUUGGGUUUUGCAGGAGGGCGGUGCACGCGUCGGCCUACGACAAGAACGUGGACGAGCAGGUGCGCCCGGCCUUCGUGCCGGACGAUGUGAUCGGCGGCGCCGGGAGCCCAGACAAGUACUGGGGCCCUCACCCGACCACCGGCGUCUUCGGCCCGGCCGCGGUCGACCCCAAGCUGUCCGCCAGCCUCGCGGCGCCGGCCAGCGCCGCGAAUGGUGGCGGCGCCUCCGUGCUGGACCAGAAGGUGUGGUUCCGCCCGCUCGAGGACGUCGAGAAGCCCCCCGUCGCCUGAUCGCCGCCGGCGACCACAGCCCAGCUCGACAUCUCUAUCACUCUCCUUAGCUGGGCUCGACCACCUACUUAACUAUUAUCUCUAGUAGCGUGCUUGUGCUAUAGUACAGUCAUGGAAGGCACCAGAAGAAGAACCGGUAGUAGUGACGCGGUGUUGCUGCCUGGAAUAAGAACCUGUGAAAGAUGUGUGAUGAUGAUGACAGUGAUGUG